rnacentral:rRNA from 1 species
AACGAACGCUGGCGGCAGGCUUAACACAUGCAAGUCGAACGCCCGUAGCAAUACGGGAGUGGCGGACGGGUGAGUAACGCGUGGGAACGUACCCUGAGGUACGGAAUAACCGAGGGAAACUUCGGCUAAUACCGUAUGAGCCCCGCAAGGGGGAAAGAUUUAUCGCCUUGGGAGCGGCCCGCGUCGGAUUAGCUAGUUGGUGGGGUAACGGCCUACCAAGGCUUCGAUCCGUAGCUGGUCUGAGAGGACCGAUUCAGCCACACUGGGACUGAGACACGGCCCAGACUCCUACGGGAGGCAGCAGUGGGGAAUCUUGCGCAAUGGGGGCAACCCUGACGCAGCCAUGCCGCGUGAACGAUGAAGGCCCUUAGGGUUGUAAAGUUCUUUUACCCGUGACGAUGAUGACGGUAACGGGGGGAAUAAGCUCCGGCUAACUUCGUG